UGGAACACGGUUUGCCUAAAGUGCCUU
rnacentral:piRNA from 1 species